GUUUCCCCCGGCGCCUCGGGUUUCACAUCCUCCUCAUGUAGUACCAGCGGCACCGGGAACGGACGGGGUGCCCGAUCCCUUCUGCAUCCUCGGUAUUUUCUCCGCUGAGGGUCUGAUCGCUGCCGCUCUCAGGCACCUGCCUUUCCUCUCCGUCCCGGAAUGGAGCCAAGACAAGGGAAUAAAGGAAAUAAAAUAGUACAAGGAGGUCGGGUGUCUGGGCAGCGUCUUGGAUAAAACGGUCCACCACAGGGCUUUUAUGCCCUUGUACAACAACUCACCAGCAUCCAGAAGUUUCCUCACACGCAAAUAGCUGAUGGUAAGCCUCAUAACAGAAGCCUUAUCAAGAUGAGAGCUCACAUUAUGAGGAAGUGGCAACUGAUGAGCAAGCUCAUAAAAAACUUCAGA